UUUGAAGGGCCGCAGUAUUUUGACUGUGCAAAGGUAGCAUAAUCAUUAGUCUUUUAAUUAAGGGCUGGUAUGAAUGGUUGGAUGAGGUGAAUUCUGUUUUAUGUUAAUUGGAAUUGAAUUUAGAUUUUAAGUAAAAAGACUUAAAUAAUAUUAAGGGACGAGAAGACCCUAUAGAGUUUAAUAUAUGAAAUAAUUAAUUGAGUUAUGAAGCUUAAUUUUUGAUUUUUAUGAAGUUUAUUUAAUUGGGGUGAUUAGAAGAUAAAAUUAACUCUUUUUUUUGUAUUUAAUAGUAUAAUUAAUUUUAUGAUCCAUAUUUGAUGAUUAAAAGAUUAAAUUACCUUAGGGAUAACAGCAUAAUUCUUUUUGAGAGUUCAUAUUGAAAAAAGAGAUUGUGACCUCGAUGUUGGAUUAAGAUUAGUUAUGGGUGCAGAUGUUCAUUGACUAGGUCUGUUCGACCUUGAAAAUCUUACAUG
rnacentral:rRNA from 1 species